rnacentral:rRNA from 1 species
AGAGUUUGAUCAUGGCUCAGAUUGAACGCUGGCGGCAGGCCUGACACAUGCAAGUCGAGCGGAUGAGAAGAGCUUGCUCUUUGAUUCAGCGGCGGACGGGUGAGUAAUGCCUAUGAAUCUGCCUGGUAGUGGGGGACAACGUUUCGAAAGGAACGCUAAUACCGCAUACGUCCUACGGGAGAAAGCAGGGGACCUUCGGGCCUUGCGCUAUCAGAUGAGCCUAGGUCGGAUUAGCUGGUUGGUGAGGUAAUGGCUCACCAAGGCGACGAUCCGUAACUGGUCUGAGAGGAUGAUCAGUCACACUGGAACUGAGACACGGUCCAGACUCCUACGGGAGGCAGCAGUGGGGAAUAUUGGACAAUGGGCGAAAGCCUGAUCCAGCCAUGCCGCGUGUGUGAAGAAGGUCUUCGGAUUGUAAAGCACUUUAAGUUGGGAGGAAGGGCAUUAACCUAAUACGUUAGUGUUUUGACGUUACCGACAGAAUAAGCACCGGCUAACUCUGUGCCAGCAGCCGCGGUAAUACAGAGGGUGCAAGCGUUAAUCGGAAUUACUGGGCGUAAAGCGCGCGUAGGUGGUUUGUUAAGUUGGAUGUGAAAGCCCCGGGCUCAACCUGGGAACUGCAUCCAAAACUGGCAAGCUAGAGUACGGUAUGAGGGUGGUGGAAUUUCCUGUGUAGCGGUGAAAUGCGUAGAUAUAGUGAAGGAACACCAGUGGCGAAGGCGACCACCUGGACUGAUACUGACACUGAGGUGCGAAAGCGUGGGGAGCAAACAGGAUUAGAUACCCUGGUAGUCCACGCCGUAAACGAUGUCAAUCUAGCCGUUGGAAUCCUUGAGAUUUUAGUGGCGCAGCUAACGCAUUAAGUUGACCGCCUGGGGAG